GACGAACGCUGGCGGCGUGCCUAAUACAUGCAAGUUGAGCGCUGAAGGUUGGUACUUGUACCGACUGGAUGAGCAGCGAACGGGUGAGUAACGCGUGGGGAAUCUGCCUUUGAGCGGGGGACAACAUUUGGAAACGAAUGCUAAUACCGCAUAAAAACUUUAAACACAAGUUUUAAGUUUGAAAGAUGCAAUUGCAUCACUCAAAGAUGAUCCCGCGUUGUAUUAGCUAGUUGGUGAGGUAAAGGCUCACGAAGGCGAUGAUACAUAGCCGACCGGAGAGGGUGGUCGGCCACAUUGGGACUGAGACACGGCACAAACGCCUACGGGAGGCAGCAGUAGGGAAUCUUCGGCAAGGGGCGAAAGUCUGAGCGAGAAACGCCGAGUGAGUGAAGAAGGUUGUCGGAUCGUAAAACUCUGUUGGUAGAGAAGAAAGUUGGUGAGAGUGGAAAGCUCAUCAAGUGACGGUAACUACACAGAAAGGGACGGCUAACUACGUG
rnacentral:rRNA from 1 species